rnacentral:rRNA from 1 species
UACGUAGGUGGCAAGCGUUGUCCGGAAUUAUUGGGCGUAAAGCGCGCGCAGGUGGUCCUUUAAGUCUGAUGUGAAAGCCCACGGCUCAACCGUGGAGGGUCAUUGGAAACUGGGGGACUUGAGCGCAGAAGAGGAUAGUGGAAUUCCAAGUGUAGCGGUGAAAUGCGUAGAGAUUUGGAGGAACACCAGUGGCGAAGGCGACUAUCUGGUCUGUAACUGACACUGAGGCGCGAAAGCGUGGGGAGCAAACAGG